ensembl:lncRNA
AUGAACCAAAGAAUGUUCGUGGACAUGCACCUCGCGGGCAGUCCCCUGUGCUUCUUGAGAAACCUCCUGAUGAAACAACUGGUGCCUGUGGUUAUACACCAAACAAGGAGACCAAGGGCUUGUUAGAUGCGGACUUGGUUCAAAAGGGGACUGGUUCCUUUUCUACUAAAGAGAUGAAUGAAUGUCAUCAGAACGGGAUGGAAGACUACAAACCGAAAAAAACAUUCAAAUUCAAAGUUCGACAUGGAAAUCGUCAAAGAUCUUCAAGUGCCGGGGAGAAUUUACAGGCUAGCAGUUUACAUCAAGACUCACCACGAAGAAAAUCUGCGGAUGACCUUCUAGAAGGUGAUGUGCCUCAAAAAGGAGCAGAUCUCUUCUAUGUUGGACAGAUUGAGGAAGAACCCAAUGUGAUGGAGCACUGCAAGCCGAAGAAACCAUCUAUAUUUAAGAAACCGUUUGCAAGUCGUCGGAAAUCAGCCCCAAUCCAGGAAAUGUUUCAGCAUGAAAAUUCAGGGAUUAUAACAGAACGCUAUACACCUCGGCGAGCAUCCCAUGAGGGCUUUCUAGGCGAUGAGACUCCUCAGAGGAGGUCAGAUCUGUUCUCAGCACAAGGAAAAGAAGACGAUUAUGAAGAUACUGCAUUUAGCAAGCCGAAUCGAGACAGAAAUGGAGGGAUGGCUGAGUACCCAC